CCGUAGCCCAAGAGAUCGGGAUAACACCUGGAAACAGAUGCUAAUACCGGAUAACAACAGAUGAUGCCUAUCAACUGUUUAAAAGAUGGUUCUGCUAUCACUCUUGGAUGGACCUGCGGUGCAUUAGCUAGUUGGUAGGGUAACGGCCUACCAAGGCGAUGAUGCAUAGCCGAGUUGAGAGACUGAUCGGCCACAUUGGGACUGAGACACGGCCCAAACUCCUACGGGAGGCAGCAGGA
rnacentral:rRNA from 1 species